AAGGCCCAUUGUGAAAUACAACGUAGAGGCGGCUUACGGAAUUAGGGUUCCAUUAUCUUCUUCGAUCUGCUCGGACCAUAACCAGCAAAAGAGAUAUACUAUGCCGUCUCAGCCGAAUCAUCUCGAAGAAAUUUUAUGUCGUGUUGCGAUUUCGUCUUUUGGUCUUCAUUGAUUGAAUCCUCAGAGAUGGUACGUUUUGUCUGGAUUUAACGCUUUUACGAAUCUUCCUAACUCCAUCAAGAACGACGCCCUCAUUCAGUGAAUAUCCCGUCAGAGGCGGUAUUUCUCAGCUUAUAAAUAUGUGGCCACUGUUCUUCUAUCGUCGAAGUGAGGCUUCUAAGAUUUUGGGAAGCUAGAACCUUCAAACGUGGUGGGGAGUUGAUGGGGUGGAUAUGCUUCUCCUUAUGCCAAGGUUUUCCGAUCUUUGACAAUUUCACGUUCAGUUUCCUAAGUCGGUGCAUCUGCAGCUAUAUAUAUAGAGUAAAAAUCGGUUGCUGUAGCACCACAAUUGAAGUUCGCAGGCUAAAUCUCAGAAACAUGGGGGGCAGAGGAACUGGAAAGUCUCAAUCAUAAUACGGUUGAACUUAAGAGGUUACACCGUAUGUAAGAGCGGAUGGUCAAUAGGGAGAAGUUAUAAGUAAGUUAAAUACUUACCCUUUGAUUUUCUUUUAUUGAAACAAAA